AGAGUUGAUCAUGGCUCAGGAUGAACGCUGGCGGCGUGCCUAACACAUGCAAGUCGAACGGGACUCAUAGUGACGGAGAUUCGGUCAAAGAAGCUUGAGUCUAGUGGCGGACGGGUGAGUAACGCGUGGGGAACCUGCCCUGUACCGGGGGGAUAACAGUGAGAAAUCACUGCUAAUACCGCAUAAGCGCACAUGGUCGCAUGACCGGGUGUGAAAAGCUCCGGCGAUACAGGAUGGACCCGCGUUGGAUUAGCUUGUUGGCGGGGUAACGGCCCACCAAGGCGACGAUCCAUAGCCGGCCUGAGAGGGUGAACGGCCACAUUGGGACUGAGACACGGCCCAGACUCCUACGGGAGGCAGCAGUGGGGAAUAUUGCACAAUGGGGGAAACCCUGAUGCAGCGACGCCGCGUGAAGGAAGAAGUAUCUCGGUAUGUAAACUUCUAUCAGCAGGGAAGAUAAUGACGGUACCUGACUAAGAAGCCCCGGCUAACUACGUGCCAGCCGCCGC
rnacentral:rRNA from 1 species